rnacentral:rRNA from 1 species
CUGUGCUGCAGACGGAGGGACAUUACCGAGUUUACAACUCCCAAACCCAAUGUGAACCAUACCAAACUGUUGCCUCGGCGGGGUCACGCCCCGGGUGCGUCGCAGCCCCGGAACCAGGCGCCCGCCGGUGGGACCAACCAAACUCUUUACUGUAGUCCCCUCGCGGACGUUAUUUCUUACAGCUCUGAGCAAAAAUUCAAAAUGAAUCAAAACUUUCAACAACGGAUCUCUUGGUUCUGGCAUCGAUGAAGAACGCAGCGAAAUGCGAUAAGUAAUGUGAAUUGCAGAAUUCAGUGAAUCAUCGAAUCUUUGAACGCACAUUGCGCCCGCCAGUAUUCUGGCGGGCAUGCCUGUCCGAGCGUCAUUUCAACCCUCGAACCCCUCCGGGGGGUCGGCGUUGGGGAUCGGGAACCCCUAAGACGGGAUCCCGGCCCCGAAAUACAGUGGCGGUCUCGCCGCAGCCUCUCCUGCGCAGUAGUUUGCACAACUCGCACCGGGAGCGCGGCGCGUCCACGUCCGUAAAACACCCAACUUUCUGAAAUGUUGACCUCGGAUCAGGUAGGAAUACCCGCUGAACUUAAGAUUCCUCGUCGUUUUUCCCUCCUUUUUGGGAGAGGGUAAUAGAGACUAAGAGCAGGGAA